GACUAGGUUAAGAGCUAAUUAACUGGACGUUACCUACAGAAGAAGCACCGGCUAACUCCGUGCCAGCAGCCGCGGUAAUACGGAGGGUGCGAGCGUUAAUCGGAAUUACUGGGCGUAAAGGGUGCGUAGGUGGUUUGAUAAGUUAGUUGUGAAAUUCCUGGGCUCAACCUAGGCACUGCAACUAAUACUGUUGAACUCGAGUAUGGGAGAGGGCAGUGGAAUUUCCGGUGUAGCGGUGAAAUGCGUAGAGAUCGGAAGGAACACCAGUGGCGAAGGCGGCUGCCUGGCCUAAUACUGACACUGAGGCACGAAAGCGUGGGGAGCAAACAGGAUUAGAUACCCUGGUAGUCCACGCCGUAAACGAUGUCAACUAGCCGUUGGUUAUAUGAAUAUAAUUAGUGGCGCAGCAAACGCGAUAAGUUGACAUCGU
rnacentral:rRNA from 1 species